CCGUCCCCGGGCCCGGUAGGGGCGCGGGGAGCGGGCUACUCUCAGUGCUCGACCGGGCGCUCACCAACAAGGAGCGGCGCUGCCACGAGCGUGCCCAGGUGCGGCGCAAGGGCAUGGAGGCAGAGAGGUCCGCCGUAGAGGGGAUCCAGGUGCCGGAGAGGAGGAAGAAGGUGGUGAAUAGCACACAUCAGCAGUCGUCCUCCCACGACCCACGCCAGACACGCCCAUGUUCUAUUGCUGCUGAUCCCGCAUUACGGUGCACAUAAACUGUUUGAGGUUAAAAUGACAGUUGUUCUUGGGGAGCUUGGAGGAAGUGAUGAGUAUUCACUACUCGAAUCCUUGAAACAAGGAAAGGUCGAGAAACCUAUUGUUGCUCGGGUUAGUGGGACGUGUGCACAUCUGUUGAAAUUUGAGUCCAAUUUUGCCAUGCUGGUGCGAUGAGUGGUGGUGAGUUGGAAUCUGCACAAGCUAAGAAUCAGGCACUAAGGGAUGUUGGGGCUGUUGUCCCUACUUCAUUUGAAGCUCUUAAAAGGAUUAAGGAUUUCAGAAGCUGGUUGAGGAAGGAAAUAUUCCGCCUGUCCCCGAGGUUACACCUCCCCCCAUUCCUGAAGAUCUUAAAACUGCCAUUGAAGUGGGAAGGUCUGAGCUCUUACAAUUUAUCUCCACUAUCUCUGAUGAUAGAGGUUAGAUUGGUGGCAACAUGUUAUCCUACAUAUAUUCUUGAUAGUUGUCUUCUGGUUAGUAUGAACCUAUAUUCAUUACCAAGAUGCUAAGACAUGGGUUCAAGGAACCCCAAUAAAGCGUUUGAUUACAACAUCGGGAGCCUCUUUUCAGUAUAAUUAGAUGGUGUGAAUAUUUGUUCAACUUAGGAGAGAGACACACUCUAGGAAAGGGUUGCUUGCGUAGGCUUGCAUCUUGCUUUCUGCAUCUCGGUAUUUUUUUCAUAUAAAUUGUAACGGUGGGCACCUCGAUACUUGUUCCUUUGGCGUUGACCGUGUUGGGAAGUUGAGCUCAGAAACUGCCGUGAAAGCACUUGAUGCUUGAACCCACCGGUAGCAUCAUGGAGCUAACAUUCUUAGAUUUUAGUCUGAUUUGAUUAUUUGUCAUCUAGAUCCAUUCAAUGGUGACAAUGUAUGAGAUAGUGAUGGAAAUUCCAAGUACAUAAAUUUUGUGUGCGGGUAUCACAUGCUACAUUUACUUGUUUAGCGACAAAUCUAAAUGGCUUUGUUUACUGAUUAUUAGUGUUAGGAAGCUCGACAUGCUUCAGGAAAUUUUAAGACGAAAAAGGCCCCCUUGGCUACUACAUCGAGAUAUCUUGAUAAAAUUUAAGAUGUUCACCUGCUAUUAUGAAUUACUAGGUUAUGAUCGGUUCGGUUUAUAGUGGAUUUUUUGUGCUAAUAACUCUUUUUACAUAAAUGUCUUUGGUGGUAUUGUACUUACUUUGCUGCUUCUGGGUUUGUGAGAGAAAAGAAGGUGUAGACAUUGAUAAAUGAUAAUGGUAGUGGAGUGUCUUCUUUACCAUAAAAAUAUACAUGGCAUGUUCUAAAAACUACGUAUGUCUUAUUCUUUUUUCUGUACAAGCACUUAAGUACCCUAUAUAUUUUUACAUUAGCCUAAAUUUAUCAGCGUUGCAUACUGAAAAUUUACACACAUGUGUUAUGCCUUCAUGUAUAUCUGUAUUUUUUUAGAAUUUUCUGAAAUGUAAAAAUAUGAAUUGUGAUGAAAUUUGAAAUUUUAAUUUGGAGGCCUCCAUGGAGGCCGAGCUCCAAAGGCAAUUUUCGGGUAAUAAUGUUAAUAAAGAAGAUAUAAAAGUAGUUCCCUUUUCAUUAUAUUCCACAUGAUUCGACUGGUGAAAGGGGGAUCAUGGGAAGAUAUACUUGAUUUUUAAACUUGCAAUUUGUUCUGUACUUCAUUGUUUCUAACUAAUACUUUUGGUUUCUGCACUCCAGAAUUUUAGGUGCUUUGGAAUCCAUGGGUGGUAAGAAUUCUUAUCUGUAGUAGGUCCUCCCUGAUGUAUGUAGCUCUCCCCUGGGAUACUACAUUCAGUACACCUGCCCUGCAGUCGGUAUCGAGAAAUUCUGCUCCAUUGCUUUUCUACUACAUUGAGGACUAUGAUCAUUUGUUUCAAAGAGAGGUUUACUGUUGAGAUUUUUAUUUGCUUUGUAGCUUCAUAUGUUCAUACUUCCACCAGAUAAUAUGAACAAAUAGCGUUGCAAGAGCCCCCUGCUAUAAA